rnacentral:lncRNA from 1 species
UCGAGGCGUGGCGCACCCGACUCCUCCCCCGCUGGGCUACAACCGCCACCCGGAGUCAGUUACCGCACGCGGUGUCCCCAGUCCCCACGCUGCCUCCGCGAACGCGAGGUGCCCCAGGGCAAGAGUCUAAGAGAGGCGAAUACGCAUGCGCCUCUCCAUCACGCCUUGUCUGGUGCAGACCCGGAAGCGGAAGCGCGCUUACUUCCGGCGGAAGGAAUUGGGCGGGGCGGACGGUGGCUCCCAGUUUCCGAUUCCGCGCCUUGGCAGUCGGAGGUCGCGGGGCUGGUUGGCUGCGCUCCCGGGGGCCGCCGCUGCCGUGCCCAGCCCCGCGCGGGGCCAUGCUGCUGCCGUCCGACGUGGCCCGGCUGGUGCUGGGAUAUUUACAACAGGAAAAGCUUUUAGCCACCUGCCGUGAAUUUAUAUUGGAAAGCUCAGAUUUAAAGGAAUAUGCUGAGCACUAUACAGAGGAAGGAUUUGUUCCAGCCUGUUUACUGGUGAGUUCAUCUUUACAGCACACAAGAUAAAGUUACACUGUGGUAUAGUCUGAAAAUCUCUCCUAAAUAAUUUAUUAUUAGUCCACACAGACUUCUGCACUUUUAGAAUGUGAGUAAACUACAUCGCAUCUACCACUCAGACUCUGUUCCAAAUGUUUCAAUAGUUUGAAAUAGUAACCUCUCUCUCUCUCUCUUUUUGGCAUCACAUAAAGCAUUGUAUAUGCACAGCUGACUCUAUCCUACAUUGCUAAUAAUACUGAAGGAUAGAUAUCUAAAAGAGUAAAAUAUGCAGAUGGUAUUGAGAAUGUUUAAUUCAAUCUGUUUUGUAGCUGUGAGCAUGGAGUUACUUUUGGUAAAGUAUUGCAAGAAGCUACAUUGAUUACCGGGCUGCUACAGUUAUUUAAAGUAAGAGUACUUUAUUAUGAGUAUGACAACCUUUGUAUCGUGUAGAUGUAACAUUUAAUUACAGUCUGUUCCACAUAAAUAUUAACUUGAAUUAGAUAAAUCAGUUUCACUUAAAGAUCUCCUAGUUGUGCUAGUAAGUAUGCACAAAUUUAAGUCUGGUGAAUGCAUUAAUUCUUUUCCAGUUUGACAACUGUAAUGCUUCCUCACUUAUUACCCUUAUCUAUUCCAACUGAGGUGCAAUUUGUCUAUAGUCUUGUCACUCAUGAUUUGUUUAUUAACUAUGCAUGUAAACAUAACUACGUUAACUCUCUCACUUCAGUGGCUGCCCUUUCUAAUGCACUCAAAAUGAGGUUUUGACUAGCAUUCCAAGUGGCAUGGCUUUGAUUUUUGUACGUGCAACUUUGAUAUUCAUAUUUGCACCUACUCACAGCUUGCAUUCUAUUUUUGUAAUACACCAUUUGAUAACUGUGAAUCCUUGGCCUGCAAUAUUCUAGGUUGGUGGAAAUCUCUCCCUUG